ACGACUACAUAUCAGGCAUAUCAAUAAGCGGAGGAAAAGAAACUAACAAGGAUUCCCUUAGUAACGGCGAGUGAAGCGGGAAGAGCUCAAAUUUGAAAUCUUCAAGGUUCUACCUUGACGAAUUGUAGUUUAUAGAAGUGUUUUCUGUUUGAAGUUCGGCUAAAAGUUCUUUGGAAUAGGACAUCAUAGAGGGUGAGAAUCCCGUAUUUGACGUCAUUCCUCCUAGCUGUUGUGAUACACUUUCAACGAGUCGGAUUGUUUGGGAAUGCAGUCCAAAAUGGGUGGUAAAUUUCAUCUAAAGCUAAAUAUUGGCGAGAGACCGAUAGCGAACAAGUACCGUGAGGGAAGGAUGAAAAGAACUUUGAAAAGAGAGUUAAACAGUACGUGAAAUUGUCAAAAGGGAAGCGUUUGACACCAGUGUUGUUUUUCCGAAAAUCAAUUACGAAUGUUUUAUUUUUGAGGAGUUAUGACUUCAUCGGCUUGCUCCUUUCUUUAUGAAACUUUCUUAAUGCACUUUUCGGUUAACAAGUCAACAUCAAUUUCUUUUGUUGUAAAAGGGUAAGAGGAAGGUGGCUUGCGCUUCGGCUCAAGUGUUUAUAGCCUUUUACCUCUGCAAUCGGAGAGAUUGAGGUCUGCAGCGUAGAUCCUUCGGGGUUAGAUACAUAUGUGCUAAGCUAUAGCCUUGUAUAGACAACUUGUUGACUAUGCUCAGUCAUGUAGCUUACUCGCUUAUGCUAUUUUACCUACGCUUAGGAUGUUGAAUCUGUGCGAGACUAC
rnacentral:rRNA from 1 species